GAUGUUGCCUCUCUAUAGUUUAUUCAAUCACUUGUUAAACUGCAUGACAGUUGUUUUCUGAAAGUUCAUGUUUGAAAAUUAUUAAUUUAGACGUUUACGUUAUUCAUCAAUCAAAUAUUUAAUAAUGUUCCGCAAUCAAUACGACAGUGAUGUCACAGUUUGGAGUCCGCAAGGACGUUUACAUCAAGUGGAAUAUGCGAUGGAAGCUGUUAAAUUAGGAUCAGCCACUGUAGGACUUAAAAACAAAACUCAUGCUGUUUUAAUCGCACUCAAAAGAGCUUCAUCCGAGCUUUCAGCGCAUCAGAAGAAAAUGUUCCCCAUUGAUAAACACAUGGGAAUUUCUAUUUCUGGUUUAACUGCUGAUGCUAGAAUGUUAAGUCGAUAUAUGCGAACUGAAUGUUUAAACUAUAAGUAUUCCCAUGAUGAUGUAUUACCUGUAAGUCGUUUACUUGCAUCAUUGGGAAAUAAGUUGCAAACAUGUACUCAGAGAUACGAUAGAAGGCCAUAUGGUGUGGGUUUACUUAUUGCUGGUUAUGAUGAUCAAGGACCGCAUAUUUAUCAGACGUGUCCUUCAUCAAAUUAUUUUGAUUGCAAAGCAAUGGCUAUCGGUGCACGUUCUCAAAGUGCCCGCACAUAUUUAGAGAAACAUCUUAAUGAACUUCUUUCGUGUGAUCUUGACGAACUUAUAAAACAUGGUCUUCGUGCAUUAAGAGAUACUUUACCUAAUGAAGUUGAUUUAUCCAUUAAGAACGUCUCUAUUGCGGUAGUUGGAAAAGGUACAGAUUUUACAAUAUUUGAUGAGGAUGCGAUAUCCGUUUAUUUAUCCCAAAUUGAAGAUGAUAAACGUGGAAGACCUACCGAACCAGAUGUAGACCAAGAUUCUAGACCUCCACAACCUCCACCUUCUGACGAAGGUCCACAAGAUCCACAACCUGCAGUUGCAAUGGAAACAGAUUAAUGUUGCAUAUAUUGUCCAAGCGUUAAAGCAUCUACACCUACAUCUCUCAAAUCUUUCAUGGUCUGUUCAACUUCUUCAUCAGUCUCACUCAAUCCCAACAUUAUCGAUGAUUUCGUAAUUAAAUCUGGAUUUAAUUUUUUAGCUGUCUUUAAGACAUUUAUUGACUGCCUAAAAUAGUAUAUGAAUAUAUGUAAGUACAACAUAAUCCAAACCCCAAUCUGUUAUCGCAGUUGCUGUAUUUAUUGGUUCUUCUGGAUCUAAUGGUAAUGGUGUACGUGAUGUUUUAACAGAACAGAAACGACAACCACGGGUACAUGUGUCUCCCAUUAACUAUAUUAAAUUUUUUUCCACUAUUA